AGCAGUCGCCGCGGGAAUACGAAGGGUGCAAGCGUUAAUCGGAAUUACUGGGCGUAAAGCGUGCGUAGGUGGUUAUAUAAGACAGUUGUGAAAUCCCCGGGCUCAACCUGGGAACUGCAUCUGUGACUGUAUAGCUAGAGUACGGUAGAGGGGGAUGGAAUUCCGCGUGUAGCAGUGAAAUGCGUAGAUAUGCGGAGGAACACCGAUGGCGAAGGCAAUCCCCUGGACCUGUACUGACGCUCAUGCACGAAAGCGUGGGGAGCAAACAGGAUUAGAUACCCGCGUAGUCCCUGUCUCUUAUAC
rnacentral:rRNA from 1 species